rnacentral:rRNA from 1 species
AUACGGAGGGUGCAAGCGUUGUUCGGAUUUAUUGGGUUUAAAGGGUACGUAGGCGGCCAAUUAAGUCAGUGGUGAAAUCCUGCAGCUCAACUGUAGAGGUGCCGUUGAUACUGGUUGGCUUGAGUACUGUUAAGGUAGGCGGAAUUGAUGGUGUAGCGGUGAAAUGCAUAGAUACCAUCAGGAACACCGAUUGCGAAGGCAGCUUACUGGGCAGUAACUGACGCUAAGGUACGAAAGCGUGGGGAGCGAACAGGAUUAGAAACCCCGGUAGUCC